rnacentral:rRNA from 1 species
GAUGAACGCUGGCGGCGUGCCUAAUACAUGCAAGUCGAGCGAACAGAUGAGGAGCUUGCUCCUCUGACGUUAGCGGCGGACGGGUGAGUAACACGUGGAUAACCUACCUAUAAGACUGGGAUAACUUCGGGAAACCGGAGCUAAUACCGGAUAAUAUAUUGAACCGCAUGGUUCAAUAGUGAAAGACGGUUUUGCUGUCACUUAUAGAUGGAUCCGCGCCGCAUUAGCUAGUUGGUAAGGUAACGGCUUACCAAGGCAACGAUGCGUAGCCGACCUGAGAGGGUGAUCGGCCACACGGGAACUGAGACACGGUCCAGACUCCUAGGGGAGGCAGCAGGAGGGAAUCUUCCGCAAUGGGCGAAAGCCUGACGGAGCAACGCCGCGGGAGUGAUGAAGGUCUUCGGAUCGUAAAACUCUGUUAUUAGGGAAGAACAAAUGUGUAAGUAACUAUGCACGUCUGGACGGUACCUAAGCAGAAAGCCACGGCUAAUUACGU